rnacentral:rRNA from 1 species
UACAGAGGUCUCAACCGUUGUUCGGAUUCAUUGGGCGUAAAGGGUGCGUAGGCGGUCGUGCAAGUCGGAUGUGAAAUCUCAGGGCUCAACCCUGAAACUGCAUUCGAUACUGCCGUGCUUGAGGACUGGAGAGGAGACUGGAAUUUACGGUGUAGCGGUGAAAUGCGUAGAUAUCGUAAGGAAGACCAGUGGCGAAGGCGGGUCUCUGGACAGUUCCUGACGCUGAGGCACGAAGGCCAGGGGAGCAAACGGG